UACGGAGGGAGCUAGCGUUAUUCGGAAUUACUGGGCGUAAAGCGCACGUAGGCGGCUUUGUAAGUAAGAGGUGAAAGCCCGGAGCUCAACUCCGGAACUGCCUUUUAGACUGCAUCGCUUGAAUCCAGGAGAGGUGAGUGGAAUUCCGAGUGUAGAGGUGAAAUUCGUAGAUAUUCGGAAGAACACCAGUGGCGAAGGACGGCUCACUGGCCCGAUACUGACGGCUGAGGCACGGAAAAGCGUGGGGAGCAAACAGG
rnacentral:rRNA from 1 species